rnacentral:rRNA from 1 species
UACGUAGGGUGCGAGCGUUGUCCGGAUUUAUUGGGCGUAAAGAGCUCGUAGGCGGUUUGUCGCGUCGGCCGUGAAAUCUCCACGCUUAACGUGGAGCGUGCGGUCGAUACGGGCAGACUUGAGUUCGGUAGGGGAGACUGGAAUUCCUGGUGUAGCGGUGAAAUGCGCAGAUAUCAGGAGGAACACCGGUGGCGAAGGCGGCUCUCUGGGACGUGACUGGACGCUGA